CCUACGGGUGGCAGCAGUGGGGGAUAUUGCACAAUGGGGGGAACCCUGAUGCAGCGACGCCGCGUGGGUGAAGAAGCGCCUCGGCGCGUAAAGCCCUGUCAGCAGGGAAGAAAAUGACGGUACCUGAAGAAGAAGCCCCGGCUAACUACGUGCCAGCAGCCGCGGUAAUACGUAGGGGGCAAGCGUUAUCCGGAUUUACUGGGUGUAAAGGGGGCGCAGACGGCGAUGCAAGCCAGGAGUGAAAGCCCGGGGGCCAACCCCGGGACUGCUCUUGGAACUGCUUGGCUGGAGUGCAGGAGGGGCAGGCGGAAUUCCUGGUGUAGCGGUGAAAUGCGUAGAUAUCAGGAGGAACACCGGUGGCGAAGGCGGCCUGCUGGACUGCAACUGACGUUGAGGCCCGAAAGCGUGGGGAGCAAACAGGAUUAGAUACCCCUGUAGUC
rnacentral:rRNA from 1 species